rnacentral:lncRNA from 1 species
UUUGCGAGUUUGUUAAUGAUGUUGCUAUUCUUGGUAUUUCUGAAGUAAAAACUUCUGCAACAAAUUCUUGCUCUGGUUCAUCAUUUCUCGGAGCCAAAAUGUGGUGAUUAGAAACAACACCUAUUUCACCUUCUUUAUCAACCAAGUCAGAACCUUCUUCCAAGCUAAUCUUUGGCCCAUCACCUUCUUCAACAGCCUGGGAAUCUGGUAUCAUGUCCCCACUACUACACCUGCUUAACAAACUUAAAUUGCUUGCCAGAGAACAAAAAACUUAGAAAUUGAUGCUAUCAAUCUUGUAAGAAUUUCAUAUGCCACCAAAUGUAUACUCAUCUAAUAAAAUAGUCAUACCUCUUAGAAUUCUCAUCUAUUUGUCUCCUUGCAAUGUCCUCUCCCAGCUUAGGAUCCCUCGCCACAACAAGUUGACGCAUUUCCUCUACCCACGAACUCUCAAAUCCAAUUUCAAUAGCUUCUUCACAUAGUCUAUCAAACUCUUUUUCUCUUUGAGGAAUAACACUAUGGGCACUUUCCUUCUGAAGGAACAAGAACAUAUCUGCCAAAAUUUUCAACCUCCAAGCUUGAAAGCGCUCACUAAACCUCUCG